rnacentral:ncRNA from 2 species
UAUCCAGCAGACGAGGUCGGCGCUAUGUGAGGAACUUGCUUUCCUUUAUUGCGCUGUUAAAAGGGAAGUCGGUGUGAGUCCGACGCGGUCCCGCCACUGUAAAUGGAAACAUGCUCAUUAGCCCUGUUUUAUGUGCCGCCAAGCAUAUGAAAGAAUAUCAGGACAUGCAUUUUCCAUAAGUCAGGAUACCUGCCCGUCCGCCUGUCACCAU